rnacentral:lncRNA from 1 species
GAAGAAGAAUCAAAGAAGAAAAGGAAAAAAAUGACUGGAAAAAAAUGAAUGAUGAACGAAAAAUGACAAACGAUGAAUGCAGAAACCCAGUUGGGUUUCUGUGUUGUUUUAUUAUUGGAUGAAAAGUUUAACGACGGAUUUUAUCCGCUGUUAGCUUUAACAGCGGAUAAAAAUCCGUCGUUAGCUUUUUACUAUUACUUAACCUUAUGACAAAUUUCUAUUCGCCGUUAAGAUUUCUAACAGCAAAUUAUCCACUGUUAAAAUAAAUAAAUAAAUAAAACUAUCGUUAAACAUAUAAU